GUCCACGCCCUAAACGAUGUCAACUAGGUGUUGGGUGGGUAAAACCAUUUAGUACCGUAGCUAACGCGAGAAGUUGACCGCCUGGGGAGUACGGCCGCAAGGUUAAAACUCAAAGGAAUUGACGGGGACCCGCACAAGCGGUGGAUGAUGUGGAUUAAUUCGAUGCAACGCGAAAAACCUUACCUACCCUUGACAUGUCCAGGAGCCUGAAGAGAUUUGGGUGUGCUCGAAAGAGAACUGGAACACAGGUGCUGCAUGGCUGUCGU
rnacentral:rRNA from 1 species